AGUAUUUUGACUAUACAAAGGUAUUGAAAUAAGACUUUAAUUGAGUGCUAAGAGAAUGGAAUUUCAUAAAAUUUCUUUUUUAAUUUUAAAAAUUGAAAUUAAUUUUAUAUGUGAAGAAACAAUAAUAAAAAUUAAGGACAAGAAGACCCUAAGAAUUUUAAAAAUUUCAAUAAAAUGCUGUAUUUUAUUGAAAUUUUUUAAUUGGGGCGAUUAUUAAAUAUUAAAAACUUUAAUUUUUUAAAAAAGAACCAAUAAUAUUGGUUAUUUGAAAAAAUACUCUAGGGAUAACAGCGUAAUAAUUUUUGAUAGUUCUUAUAGACAAAAUAGUUUGCGACCUCGAUGUUGGAUUAGGAUUCUUUUUUAAUGAAGAAGUUAAAAAAAGAAGUUUGUUCAACUUUUAAAAUCCU
rnacentral:rRNA from 1 species